GACGAACGCUGGCGGCGUGCUUAACACAUGCAAGUCGAGCGGAAAGGCCCUUUCGGGGGUACUCGAGCGGCGAACGGGUGAGUAACACGUGAGUAAUCUGCCCUGGACUCUGGGAUAGCCACCGGAAACGGUGGUUAACACCGGAUAUGACACCUUGCUGCAUGGUGGGGUGUGGAAAGUUUUUUCGGUCCAGGAUGUGCUCGCGGCCUAUCAGCUUGUUGGUGAGGUAAUGGCUCACCAAGGCUUUGACGGGUAGCCGGCCUGAGAGGGUGACCGGUCACACUGGGACUGAGACACGGCCCAGACUCCUACGGGAGGCAGCAGUGGGGAAUACUGGACAAUGGGCGGAAGCCUGAUCCAGCAACGCCGCGUGAGGGAUGACGGCCUUCGGGUUGUAAACCUCUUUCAGUACCGACGAAGCGAAAGUGACGGUAGGUACAGAAGAAGGACCGGCCAACUACGUGCCAGCCGCCGCCGUAAAAC
rnacentral:rRNA from 1 species